rnacentral:rRNA from 1 species
CAGAAUCAACGCUGGCGGCGUGCCUCAGACAUGCAAGUCGAACGAUUAAACUUUCCUCGGGAAGAUAUAAAGUGGCGCACGGGUGAGUAACACGUAGGUAAUGUACCCUUUAGGGUGGGGAAUAACCAUCGGAAACGAUGGCUAAUACCGCAUAAUGCAGCGGCAUCGCCAAGAUGACAAGUUCGUUAAAAGAUUUANCGCCUAAAGAGCAGCCUGACGGCAGAUUAGGACGUUGGUAAGGUAAUGGCUUACCAAGCCUGCGAUCUGUAACCGACCUGAGAGGGUGGUCGGUCACACUGACACUGAAUAACGGGU